rnacentral:rRNA from 1 species
GACGAACCGUCCAAACGUUAUUCGGAAUCACUGGGCUUACAGAGUUCGUAGGCGGUCUGGAAAGUUGGGUGUGAAAUCCCUCGGCCUAACCGAGGAACUGCGCUUGAAACUACCAGACUCGAGGGGGAUAGAGGAAAGCGGAACUGAUGGUGGAGCGGUGAAAUGCGUUGAUAUCAUCAGGAACACCGGUGGCGAAGGCGGCUUUCUGGGUCUUACCUGAUGCUGAGGAACGAAAGCCAGGGGAGCGAACGGG